rnacentral:rRNA from 1 species
CCUACGGGCGGCAGCAGUGGGGAAUAUUGCACAAUGGGGGAAACCCUGAUGCAGCGACGCCGCGUGAGUGAAGAAGUAUUUCGGUAUGUAAAGCUCUUUCAGCAGGGAAGAAAAUGACGGUACCUGACUAAGCAGCCCCGGCUAACUACGUUCCAGCAGCCGCGGUAAUACGUAGGGGGCAAGCGGUAUCCGGAUUUAUUGGGGUUAAAGGGUGCGCAGGCGGAAGAGCAAGUCAUCGGUAAAAUUUUGAGGCUCAACCUCUUACCGCCGUUGAAACUGCGGUGUGUGAGUGGGCGAGAAGUAAGCGGAAUGCGUGGUGUAGCGGUGAAAUGCAUAGAUAGCACGCAGAACUCCGAUUGCGAAGGCAGCGUACCGGCGCCCAACUGACGCUCAUGCACGAAAGCGUGGGUAUCGAACAGGAUUAGAUACCCUGGUAGUC